UUUUUUUUUUGAGACAGAGUCUCACUCUGUCGCCCAGUCUGGAGUGCAUUAGGCUGGGCGCGGUGGCUCACGCCUGUAAUCCCAGCACUUUGGGAGGCCGAGACGGUGGAUCACGAGGUCAGGGGACUGAGAUCAUCCUGGCUAACACGAUGAAACCUCAUCUCUACUAAAAAUACAAAUAAUUAGCCAGGCAUGGUGGCACGCGCCUGUAGUCCCAGCUACUCGGGAGGCAGAGACAGGAGAAUCGUUUGCACCCGGGAGGCGGAGGUUGUUGCAGUGAGCCGAGAUCGCGCCAAUGCACUCCAGCCUGGGCUACAGAGUGAGACUCCAUCUCAAAAAAAAACAAAAAAAAUCACCUCAUAGUUUAUGUCUGACUUACUCCAAACCUCAGUUAUCUGAUUUGUAGUCUGUGUCAGGAAAGUUUUCUUCAUAUCUAUUCUGUCUCCCUCCUCUUUGAUUUUAAAUUUUUUUCUUUUACCCAGUAGGACAAAAAAGAGCAGUUGGUCAUCAUCCCCAAUAUUCUUAGUCUUCAGUAUGCUUCAGGCCUCUCAAUGAACACUUAAGUCUCAAUUCUUCAGACAAAAUUGCUUAAGCUCUUCUCCUCAGUCCUAUUUUAAUGACUUUAUAUUUAAGAAUAUAGAAUUAUAUUUUCUUUUAUAUUCAAAUUCAUUACUCCAGUUAAGUAAUAGUUUGAUAGUUUGAUAGAAUCGAGAGUUAAGAUGUUUCUAUUUGAAAGUGGAUUCAACCAUCAGACCACCAGCAAAUCGGCACUUAAUUUUUGUGUUAUCUAACAUUUUCUAUUGUGGAAUUUUAUGAUUUUAUAUUCUCAUUAGUUAUAACUAAAAAGCCAUGCACACAGAAUUGUAUAUCAUUUUGCCAUUAAAAUUUUUUAACAUAUUGCAGCAAGCUUAGUUUUAUGAUUGAGCCACAACCUUUUACAUAUUUUUUGUAUGAAAUAUUAAACACUAAAUGCAAGAUUAACUUUCAAAAGCAAACCCUACAUUAAUCAGGUAUUAUCUAUGGACAUUUUUGUAGACCACUUUUGAAAUACUUAUUAUUUUGCAACAUAGACUGGACUAUACAACUUUCAUUUAACUUUUAGGUGACUGAUUUAAGUUGAGUGUGCAUAUAGAG
rnacentral:lncRNA from 10 species